GAUGAAGAACGUAGUGAAAUGCGAUAAGUAAUGUGAAUUGCAGAAUUCAGUGAAUCAUCGAAUCUUUGAACGUACAUUGCGCCCGCCAGUAUUCUGGCGGGCAUGCCUGUUCGAGCGUCAUUUCAACCCUCAGGCCCCCAGUGCCUGGUGUUGGGGAUCGGCCCAGCCUUCCUGUAAGGCCGCCGGCCCCGAAAUCUAGUGGCGGUCUCGCUGUAGUCCUCCUCUGCGUAGUAGCACAACCUCGCAGUUGGAACGCGGCGGUGGCCAUGCCGUUAAACACCCCACUUCUGAAAGUUGACCUCGGAUCAGGUAGGAAUACCCGCUGAACUUAAGCAUAUCAAUAAGCGGAGGA
rnacentral:misc_RNA from 1 species